rnacentral:tRNA from 1 species
UCGCCGGUAGCUCAGAUGGUAAAGUGUCUGCCUGUGAUGCGGCAGACCUAGGUUCGAUCCCUGGGUGGGGAA